ensembl:lncRNA
GGAUAAAGGACUGAGACCUCCCAUUCCUUGCUGUAAUGCUUCUUACAGGAGCCUCAGCAGAAUGUGGGAAAGUGUUUGCUCUGUUGUUCUGUGAGAGCAACGAAAGGCUUAGGGAAACUGCUGAGCACCUGGGAAGUGAGGUUUGAAGGAAGAGGAGGCACCUUGGAACUUCUCCCUUGGGUCCAUCCUGGCGCAGGAGCCCUGCUCUGAAACCUGAUCCUGCUGGAUGGGUUCCAGCCGGCCGAGAACACCCCUCGGGCUGCGUCCGCGGCUUUCGAGGAGCCUCCCUCCUUCUGAGAGAACAAUGUCAGCGUGGCUGCCGGCCAGAGAGCAUCCCAGAGCAUCCCAGAGCAUCCCAGAGCAUCCCAGAGAGGGGAGGUCAGGACCCCGCUCCGUUUUGCACCAGGAGCACCGAGGAGGGCUGGGCUCACGGUCUGAGGGAAGCCCUGCGAGAGCUGCCUUCCCCUCAGGCCUCCUCCUACAAAUCUUUCCACGCUGCAAACAGAAAUUUGCAAAUCUAGGCCAAGCAUUCCCUGCUCCUAUUUCACCACCCAUGCUGUCGGAGGACGGUUGUGCUGUGUGCUAUGGAGACGCAGCACCUCAGGAUAAACCUGGACCGCUCUGCUCCGUGCUCAUGCGGCCCAGUGGGGUCCUCUUCUAUACCUGGACCAUUACCCUGGGACUAAUUAAAAUAAUUAACAAGUGUAAUUAACUGUUGAGAGUUUUAGCACAUUAUAUCAGCAACAAUUAAAUAAAUUGCCCGUUUUGUCUUGCAAAGAAAAGACAGAGAGGGGAACAAGGAGGAGGGAGGUGGAGAGACUGAUGCUGUGGCACGGGGAAGUGAAUAGGGGUCGGUGGCUCUUGUGUUGGAAGACAAAGCAGACAAAGCUGUGCCCCAUGGAAUUACCGAGUGGCAGAUGCAGAUCGGCCACAUUUCCCGCAGCGUGUAAUUAAGCUGAGGAGCUCAUUGCCCAAAUGAAUCCCCAGAUCCGGGGGGCACGGAGUGCUGGGGGCCCUGUGUUGUCCCCAGGUCCCUGCUGCCUGCUCCUGCUGUGCAUUCGGUGCCACAACACCGCGGUGGCUGCUCCGCAGAGUUAGGGGACGCGUCCCAGCCAUGUUCCAGCACUGCUCAGCCUGGCUCCAGCCUCCAGCACGGAGCCUUGGGGUUCGCCUCUCCUCACCAUCAGUGACCCCGGGCUGCAUUUUGGGCAGCACAGGAGCCCAGCGGGAUAGAGCAGAACCCACGUGCAGGUGCCCCUCUGCCCAAGGGACAGGGACAGCGGCUGAGCCAAUCCUGAGGUGAGGGGAGCAAGUAGGUGCCCUGCUUUGCUUUGUGCACCUUGCUGAAAUGCGUGAGCCCAAAGGGAAAGAAACAGCAGAAAUCCAAGCAAAUAAGGAAGAGAUCCAAGCAAAUACGAGGCCCAUCACAGUCAGUGGAGGUCCCUCUGCAGGCUGAACACAGGGAGGGCUCCAUCCCCACCUAUUUCUGCUCCAAGCAUGCCAGCGCGACUCAGCUGCCUUUCCUGAUUGAAAUCUAACACCUUUUAUACGGUUCACGUCUCAUAACUCGGGGGGGGGGGGUUUAAAGAAAAAUUAAUUCCUUGGACUUUGGCACCAGCGGGCAGCGGUCGGGGCAGAAGCUGUUCUCCUGCCUUGCAGAGCCACGCUCCCCCCCAGCAUCUCCCGUCAGCAUCUUCCUUCAGCCCAUUUGUUUUAGGGGAACACAAAAGCUCUGCUUUCUGCCCGUUUUCCCCCCCGUGCCGCCCGGUGCCCCCACACAGCCCCAGUGCCCACGGCCUCCCGCUGCCAUCUGCAUGACAAAGCCCACUGCUCCGCGCCUUUUGGGGAUUGCCCGCACCACAAACCUUAUGGGCUUCAUCAAUAGCUCGGAUGAUUUUAGGGUCUAGGUUUUUAUUCACUACAGCGUUGGCUGACAAAGCCCAUUACAUCAUCUGUUUGGAAGAGAAAUUCUCUGCAGCUGCUUGUGUGGCACAGGGGGGUUUGCUGGAAAAAAUAAGGCAGAUUUUUUUUUUUCCGUUUGGUUUUGUUUCAUUCUUUCAGGGCAAUUUUCCUUCAAAUUGCUGGAAAACUGCACGUUAAAAAGGCUUCCAAAGUGGAAAGGAAAAGGGCAGAGCGCAGCAGCUUUAAGCAUUCUUUUUUUUUUUUGCUUUUUUUCAUUUCCCUUCCAAAAAGCCGGGGGGAGGGCAGCCCCCGCUCAGGGCCGUGUGUGGGGCUGGGGUGUGGGGACAGCGGGGUGCCCCGUCCUGUCCCAUUGCUGCUGGGAAGUCCUCCUGGCUCAGCACCGGUGUGAGCAGAGGAAUCCCUCCUGAGCUCAAAAGAGGCUGAAGUUGUAGCUUGGGUUGCUGUUGGAAUGGCUGCUAAGCUCGAAAGAAAGGUUUAUAAUUCAUAGGGUAACACAGCGCACGGCGCUAUGGAAAACAGCUCUUCACUCACUGCAAUUAAGAGUGAGAAAACCCCAUAACUGCAGAUAAAAAUCCGUUAUUAUAGAUGAGUGUGACAGACCACUGCGUUUCCCCAUCAGGUGAGCAGCACGGAUGGGCCGAGCCUCGUUAGCACAGGGCUUUCACAAGUGGGUUCUGAGACAUUUAAACUGUAUCCAGGAAAAGAUGGGUCCUAAAUGCACCGCAGGUGUCACUGCCGAAUGUGUCCUUGGGGGUAAUCCGGAUGUGCUGAGGAGCACGGAGGCGCAGCGCUGACACAGCACGGUGGGGGUGGGCUGGAGGUCCCAACCUGAAUGAGUGGAUGGCUGAGCGAUGGGAAUGCUGCCGGGUUGUGGCAGCCUCGGCAAUGGGGAGAAGGUGUGGGGGACGGGGGGUGAUCCGGGUCUGGGAGUUUCUUUUAGCAGCAGAGAUUGGCUCACGUUCAGUUCAUGUUUUAUCUCGGAUAGGAAUUGAUUUUUUUUUAAUAGGUCGAGAGUUCAGGAAAGCUAAAAUAAUAAUAAUAAUAAUAAUAAUAAUAAUAAUAAUAAUAAUAAACCAGGAUCUGUCUUUUUCUGCUCCCUGAAUACAUAGGGCUGCUUUCCGGCACACAUUUCAUUUUCAGGUGAGUUCCUUUGUUGCCAUAGCAAUAUUACUCGUGUUUGGAAAGCCGCAGCUUUGGUUUUCUCCCAGGCCAUGCUGUCACACGCAGGCAGCACCCCGAGCCCAGCACAGAGCCGCACUGAGCUGCGCCGCAGCACGGAGGCAGAGGGGAGGGCCAUGGGGGAGCGCAGGGCUCCCACCCAAAGAUGCUCCUCUCUUCUCACCCUUCCACCCACACCUCACAGCGUGGCUUUGCAGUCAGGUCAAAGGAAACCCGGUGGCUUUGCUAAUUAGCACUUAUUAACGACGCUUCUCUGGCUGUGCCCGCAGCUCUCCCUCCAGGCACUGGCGCACAUGCAGCAACAAAACCCGUGUGCGCCCCAGAGAGCUCAGAAUCCCGUAAAUCCCAUUUGCUGCCACACAGGUGUCUCAUUUCCUUGCUCCGCAGAUCCCGGGCCCAGUGAAUUUAUUUUAUUACUCUGCUGAAGUAAAGGCUUUAAAUACUGCGGGACGUGCAUGACGGGGGUCUGUAACAGCAUUAAGAAAGGCACGAGGAAAAGGGAUUCCCCCGUAAGGGAACGGUUCUGUGGUCAUUUGGGUAAUAUGUAUUCUGUACAUGUGCCAGGAAUUAAGAUUUGAUUUUAAGUAUUUAUAUAUUAAAUAUUUAAUCUAGUCACAUCUAGUCAUUUGAUCCAGGAAG